GACGUAGGGCGCGAGCGUUGUCCGGAUUUAUUGGGCGUAAAGAGCUCGUAGGCGGCUUGUCGCGUCGACUGUGAAAACCCGCGGCUCAACUGCGGGCCUGCAGCCGAUACGGGCAGGCUAGAGUUCGGUAGGGGAGACUGGAAUUCCUGGUGUAGCGGUGAAAUGCGUAGAUAUCGAGAGGAACACCAGUGGCGAAGGCGAGUCCCUGGACAACACCUGACACUGAGGCACGAAAGCCGGGGGAGCAAACAGG
rnacentral:rRNA from 1 species